GAUGGCGAGAGCCAUCGGUAGUAUAGCGAAAAUCAUAAAUGAGAAGAGCUCUAAACGCCUAAGUAGAGUUAAAAUAAUUAGACAGGCACUACUACA
ncrna:unclassified sequences RAGATH-17 RNA